AGAGAGGCAGUGCUGCACUGUGGAGGGUCAAUAAGAAGCAUGUAGCUCCACUGGCAAGGUGCCAAUGAUGACAGAAUGCUGCACUGCCAGAGGAUCAGCAAUGAGGGAAAACUGUAUUGUCAGAGUGUCUUCGUCAAGAAAGUGCCACUCUGUCGGAAGGCCAAUAUUAAGGGAGUGCUGCACUGUCACAGGAUCAAUAUUAGGGGUGUGCUGCACUAACAGAGGGUCAGUGUUGAUUGAAUGCUUGACUGUUGCAGAGCCAGGACUGAGGGAAUCCUGCAUCGUUACGGUGUCAUCGUUGAGGGAGUGCUGCACUGUUGAAGGGCCGAUAGUAAGGGAGUGUGACACUGUCAGAGUGUCAUUACCAAAGGUGGACUACAGUAUCAAAGGUACCACGCUGAGUAUUGUUAUCCCGAUAGUUCUUUCGUCUCAGUCCGUGUGUAUUCCUGGGCGAAUGUGCUCGUGUGGUCUCAGGAGUUGCGGAGGUCACGGCUCUGGGACAGCCGUUUCAUCGCCCUAUGCUGCAGGAAAAAAGCAAUGAAAGUGCCGUUAAUGUUUUGCACGGCGAGCUGCUGCAAACUAACCGGUCUCACACCAUUACCAUCACCUUGCCCUUGUGAAGGCAGAUAUGGAUAAGGUUCUCAAUGCUGAUAGAAGAUUGAAACCACUCUAAUCCUGUGACGAUGAACCUACCCCGGAAGAGAGAGCCCAGAGAAUUGCCAAAGCUGUCCGCAAACAGUCAACAGAAGUGAAGGAAAAUUGGGAGCAAUUGAAAACCCGUGCGAGCAACUGGCAGAAACAGGUGGAAAAGGCGUUGGAGAAACUUCAAGAACUGCAGAAAGCGCUGGAUGAUCUUGAGGCUCAUGUGAUAACAGCUGAGGGGGUCCACACUGAUUGGCAACCUGUGGGUGACCUGCUUAUUGACUCAUUGCAGGAUCACAUUGAUAAAACCACAGGUAAGGACUAUCUGCAAAAUCUGAGAUUGGGUUUUGAAAGACAGCAGCCUUUGUUUUGGAGAGAUAAUGGGAACUGCAGAUGCUGGAGAAUGCGAGAUAACACCGUGUGGAACUGGAUGAAGACAGCAGGCCAAGCAGCAUCUGAGGAGCACAAAAGCUGACGUUUCGGGCCGAGAACCUUCUUCAGAAAAUGGGGAGGGGGUGCGGGUUCUGGAAUAAGUAGGGAGAGAGGGGGAGGCGGAUGGAAGAUGGAUGGAGGAGAAGAUAGGUGGAGAGGAGAGUAUGGGUAGGGAGGCAGGGAGGGGAUAGGUCAGUCUGGGGAGGCCGGACAGGUCAAGGGAGCGGGAUGAGGGGAAAUAGGGGUGCGGCAUGAGGUGGGAGGGGGGAUGGGUGAGAGGAAGAACAGGUUAGGGAGGCAGGGACGAGCUGGGCUGGUUUUGGGAUGCAGUGGGAGGACAGGAGAUUUGGAAGCUUGUGAAAUCCACACUGAUACCAUUGGGCUGCAGGGUUCCCAAGCAGAAUAUGAGUUGCUGUUCCUGCAACCUUGGGGUGGCGUCAUUAUGGCACUGCAGGAGGCCCAGGUUGGACGUGUCCUCUCAGGAAUGGGAGGGGGAGUUGAAAUGGUUCGUGACUGGGAGGUGCAGUUGUUUAUUGCAAACUGAGUGUCGGUGUUCUGAAAAGCGGUCCCCAAGCCUCUGCAUCGUUUCCCCAAUGUAGAGAAAGCCACAACGGGGACAGCGGAUGUUUUGGAUAUUUCUUAAGCAUUGCUUUUCAUUCAGAGUUGGUUCGAUUUUGCUGAAGCAAUAGACAUAACUCACUAUGACGUAGACAAUGUCAGAGUUCAUGUUUCGCGUCCUGUGACCCUUACUCAGAUCUCACUCUUCACUGAUGCUGCCAGACCUGCUGAGCUUUUCGAGCAACUUCUGCUUUUGUUGCUGAUUUACAGUGCCCACAGUUCUUUUGUUUUUUACGACACAGACAAAACUCUAUCUCUGCAGGUAGCAUGAUGCUGUAUUCUUCAACUUCCCUGCCUUUUUGUAAUAGAAUAUUGUCUGUUUAGGACAGAAGUGGCUUUUUUUGUUUGUUUUAACUUCUGCACAUGCUUUCUCUGCAGGCUAAAAGUCUACACCUUUUCAGUUCACUGCAGUGCUGCAUAAUGAAGACUUGGAACAUAUUUUUUAUAAAGUAGAAAAUCAGUGUGGUUUGUUUUCCAAAAUGUGAUGUGUAAGUGCAACACUUAACAGUGUGUUCAUCAAACUAUUGUUUCCUUUGAUCUUUGUGUUGCAGAAAUUUCUAGAAUCAUUUCAAAUAUAUUUUUCUUGAUAUAUUUUAGCAGCUUUCCCGGAGCAAGUCUGUUUUCCUUCGGAUGAGACGACUUUCAGACAUACUCCCUUUAUUAUGAGAUUUAAUUGGGGUAAAAUGAGGAGGAUUUUUAUUCACUGAGACACACAUGACUUUCUGUUUAAAGCAUUGGAAAAAGCAUUCUGUUAGGACUGUCAUGCUAUCUGGUGUUUGUACCAGGCUUCCCAAUUAACUGCAAGUGAUUAAGGAUGCUCAUGGAUGCCACAUGUUAUUACAAGAGGAAAUGAACAUCCAAGUAAGGAUUUUAUACCACAUUUAUACAUAGCAUGGACUAUGCAGCAUGGAUGCAGUGACUGAGUGAAAUGGGAAGCAGUGACUGAGUGAAAUGGGAAGCAGUGACUGAGUGAAAUGGGAAGCAGUGACGGAGGGAAAUGGGAUGCAGUGACGGAGGGAAAUGGGGAUGCAGUGACUGAGACAAAUGGGAUGCACUGACAGAGGGAAAUGAGAUACAGUGCCUCAGUGAAAUGCUCACAGCGAAUUCCCCCUCCAGUUCUGACCUCGUCACAGUGACUUGCCCCCUCCGUCCUGACCCGCUCACAGCGAAUUCCCCCCUCCAUCCUCACCCGCUCACAGUGACUAGCCCCUGCAGUCCUGACUUGCUCACAGCGACUUCUCUCUGCAGUCCUGACCCGCUCAUUGCGACUUGCCCCUCCGUGCUGACCCGCUCACAGUGGCUUGCCCCCUCACUCCUGACCCGCUCACAGCGACUUGCCCCCUCACUCCUGACCUGCUGUCCAUUGAGGAAACGAAGCAGAGGCUUGGGGACCGCUUUGCAGAACACCUCCGCUCGGUUCGCAACAAACACCUACAGCCUCACAGCACUGGGGGCACAGGUUCAAUUCCAGCCUCAGGCAACUGUCUGUGUGGAAUUUGCACCUUGUCCCUGUGUCUGUGUGGGUUUCCUCCAGGUGCUCCGGUCUCCUCCCACCGUCCAAAGAUGUGCACUGUAGGUGGAUUGGCCAUGCUAAAUUGCCCAUAGUGUUCAGGGGCGUGGGUCUGAGUGGGAUGCUCCAAGGUUUGGUGUGCACUUGUUGGGCCAAAGGGCCUGUUUCCACACUGUAGGGAAUCUAAACAAUCCUGUUCCCACAUCUCCAUGUUAUAACCCUGCUGAUCACUGCACACAGAGAUGUUUGAUAACAAAAGGAUAACAAGACUAUUCAAACCCAGUGCUGGAGAUGUAUUUUAAAUGAGUAUUUUAAAUACACUGAGGCCAGUGUCGAUCUCCAAUUCAACUUUUAUUUACAAAUGAACUGUCUUCAACUUUAGCACUGUCUCAUGCAGAGAUAGUUACCAGGGUGUCAGCAUCUCUGACCCUCACACUUCUUAUCUGUCAGCCAGGGCUCCCUGAUUUGGGCUGUUAAUAUGGACCAAUCAGGCAACUCAUAUUCUUUGAGGUCAAACUGGCCGACCUGGUCACAAACCAGCGCAGUGUGUUCAUCGAAAAUCAAACAUGUACGAGAAGGGUAACAUUACAUCCCCCUGUAAAGGAAGGCAUGAGGCCAAACUGGGGAGGGAAAGGGAACUGCUGAUUGGGGGUGGCCCAGAGAGUGGAAGAAAAUCGAAUGGGAAGAAGACCGUUUGAGACUGAGGGAGAGAGAUGUAAUUGCCUGAAUCAGGAAUUCCAUUUGCGAAAUGGAUUUUUGUGUAUACACCAUGUUCAGUUUCCCCGAUCUUCAUCUGUACUCCUCUAAAUCAUUCGUAUCUGAAAUUUCUGUAUCAUUUCCAAAGGUUCUGUCUCUAAUGUUAUGCUGUUGGAAUUGGUUGAACUGCAGAGAUAUCAUUUAUUUGCACAAAUGCGUUCAGUGAAAUGAGCUGCAUGCUGUAUAUGUAUUAUUCUUCCUGAUUCUAUUAUACGCAUACAAAUUCAAGUUAGUUCCA